rnacentral:rRNA from 1 species
GGCAGACGGGUGAGUAACACGUGAACAACCUACCCUCGAGUGGGGAAUAACACCGCGAAAGCGGUGCUAAUACCGCAUAACAUCUUCGGGUUGCAUGACCUGAAGAUCAAAAGCGCAAGUUGCUUGAGGAGGGGUUCGCGCCUGAUUAGCUAGUUGGUGAGGUAACGGCCCACCAAGGCGACGAUCAGUAGCCGGCCUGAGAGGGCGAACGGCCACACUGGAACUGAGACACGGUCCAGACUCCUACGGGAGGCAGCAGUGGGGAAUUUUGCGCAAUGGGCGAAAGCCUGACGCAGCAACGCCGCGUGGAGGAUGAAGGCCUUCGGGUCGUAAACUCCUGUCAGUGGGGACGAAUGCUUCGCAAGAAGUUUGACUGUACCCGCUGAGGAAGCCACGGCUAACUCCGUGCCAGCAGCCGCGGUUAUACGGAGGUGGCAAGCGUUGUUCGGAAUUAUUGGGCGUAAAGGGCGCGUAGGCGGCUUGGCAAGUCAGAUGUGAAAGCCCCGGGCUUAACUCGGGAAUUGCAUCUGAAACUGCUUAGCUUGAGUUCUGGAGGGGGUAGU